GCCCGUAUAGCUCAGGGGUAGAGCACUUCAUUGGUAAUGAAGAGGUCAUGAGUUCAAAUCUCAUUACGGGCU
rfam:Oscillatoriales cyanobacterium 'hensonii' Contig_247, whole genome shotgun sequence.